rnacentral:rRNA from 1 species
AAGGUCUGGAGCCGGAGCGAAAGCGAGUCUGAACAGGGCGAUAGUUGCAUGACGUAGACCCGAAACCGGGUGACCUAUCCAUGAGCAGGUUGAAGUGGAGGUAAAACUCCAUGGAGGACCGAACCAGGCUGGAUU